rnacentral:rRNA from 1 species
GACGAACGCUGGCGGCGUGCUUAACACAUGCAAGUCGAACGGAAAGGCCCUGCUUUUGUGGGGUGCUCGAGUGGCGAACGGGUGAGUAACACGUGAGUAACCUGCCCUUGACUUUGGGAUAACUUCAGGAAGCUGGGGCUAAUACCGGAUAGGAGCUCCUGCUGCAUGGUGGGGGUUGGAAAGUUUCGGCGGUUGGGGAUGGACUCGCGGCUUAUCAGCUUGUUGGUGGGGUAGUGGCUUACCAAGGCUUUGACGGGUAGCCGGCCUGAGAGGGUGACCGGCCACAUUGGGACUGAGAUACGGCCAGACUCCUACGGGAGGCAGCAGUGGGGAAUAUUGCACAAUGGGCGGAAGCCUGAUGCAGCAACGCCGCGUGCGGGAUGACGGCCUUCGGGUUGUAAACCGCUUUCGCCUGUGACGAAGCGUGAGUGACGGUAAUGGGUAAAGAAGCACCGGCUAACUACGUG